ACACAUGAAAGGCGGUGGGGGGGACGGGGGUGGGAACUUGCCUAUGGGGCAGGGAUAUGGGAAUGUGGGUAUGUGGAUGGGGUGUGGGAAUACGUGGCUGUUGGAUAAUAUUUUUUCUGAUUUAGAGAUAGGGUAACUGAGAGGUGUUUUAAAAUCUUUUAUUCCAUUUUCAGUCUCAUGAGAAGGGUGAGAUAUACAGAUGUUAUAAUUCAUGCUAUCACAAUCAGAAGCCAACUAUUUCCUAAUUACAAGACACUAUUAAGUGUUUCUUGGCCUAUCAGGUUUAGCCACACCAUGUUGUAGAUGCUUUAAAGCCAAUCAUCUAAAAUGACCCCUCGUGGGCCCCACUACAAUGCAUCUUUCAUAGUUCUAUUUCUCUGAAGUAUUUAGUCUUAUUUGCAAGGCCAUCUUUUGAAACUUGUUUCUAGCUGCAUUUCUCUCUCAAUAGUAUGUCUUAUUCUAUGGCAUUUCUAAGUCAGCAUUUCUUAUCUCAAAGUUUGCAUAUGGAUGCAUACAGUGUGGGCCUUCUGUCAGGCCCCAAAAACUCUAUAAAUCUAUUUCCCACACGUGGGAUAUGGCUACAGGGAUAUGGAAAUAUGAAGGGACAUGCUUAGAGGGAUGUGGUAUGGGAAUACAUGGGGAUAUGGCUGCAGGGGUGUAGUCUGUGACGAUGCAGGGACACUGCUGUGGGCCCAGGGCCAUCAGGGCCUGGUCUCCUGCCUCAGACUGGCCUGCAGAAACAUCCCAAAUGUCCUGGCUGAAGGGGCUGUAUCUAAUGCAUCACAGCACCAUAUGGGGAUCACUUGCACUGCAGAGAUCACAUAAGACAAAUUCCACCCCCAUGGACUGUUACAGACCAUGUGGGACCACAGGACAUCACAAGGACACAUUGAGGCUACUUGGACUGCAGGCUGUGGGCAAAAAGACCACAAAGACAUGAGACCACUUGGAAUGUGUGAAGAAGGAACCAGUAGGCACGGUGACUUGGGGCAAAUGCAGGACAAGUUUCAGGGGACGCAGUGAGGCACGCCACACACAACAAUUCCUCUCCAGGCCUGGGAAUCAAGGACACCUCACUACCUCAGGCCCUGAGAGAUGGAAACAAAAGUAGCUCCAAAAAGGCAUCAGCAUCUCCUUGGAGAACCUCCUUUCAGCCCCACAGCCCCCACUGCAGGCACCUCUGAGGCACCUCUUCCUUCUUUCUCCUUGCUGCUGAGUGCGAUGGUGUGCAGGUAUCAUGUGUGAGGCUCAGUUGUUGUCCAGGAUUAUACCAUAACAGAAGGCAAGUAAAAUUAGUCCUUCCCUUUAUAGGUGCAAUAAAACUGACCCUUCUCUUCCCUGCUUUUUCUCAUGUGCUGGGCUGAGAGGUGGACAGAGCAAGCUGAGGCACCUCCUGGGCUGUCUGGAGCAGUUUUGCAUGUCUGGAGCAAAGUCUUCCUUGUGGUUCUCGCUGGAUGUAGUACAGCCAGGACAAACAACAAUGUUCAGAGACGAGGGACAGGGAGGGAUCUAACUAGAUAUUUAUUCUCCAGCAUCUUGGCUCUCAGAAUUAAGGCAACAUUUGAAAAAUUGAAACUGAAAAUGAAGGGCAAAAAUAGGCAGAUCAUAAGAAAAGGAAGUAAAACCCAAAACAAGUCUGAUACUAUAAUUUUUUUUUUCUUUUUUGGAAAAUACAGGUUCACUGAAAAACCAAUAACACCUGCUUGUAAGAAAGAAUCACUUCUUAUUAUUCUGAACUGAUCUGAAACAACUCAGGUGGAAAAAACAUUUUCCUGGUGAUAUUUUCAAUAAUAUUUUACUGUUUUAUAAUUCAAGAUGAUGCUUUUAUUGCAGUAUUUGAAUUAAUGCAUAGUUUAAAGUGUGAAAAAUUGACCAAAAAAAGAAGAUAAAAAUAUAAUUUACAUAAAAUAUUUUUAAAAUGCGGCCUCUGGGGAGGGAGGCUGCAGCCCCCUGCAAGGUGCAGGGGUGGAGGAGACCUGGGAUGUUUGGGCAGAGAGUGAAAGAGACUGUGCUGGCUUGUAAUUUGAUAUCCUGUGCUGGCACCAUGGCCAGGAGAAGAAGGAGGGAGCAAGGUACCCGGCUUCGGGCAGACCGGGCUGAGGUUUUAACUCCGUUGGUACUGAGAUAAUGGAAGCUGUAAAAACACUGAUCCUCCCCGGCUGAGAAUUGAGAGGGGAUGGAGGAUGGGCAAAUGAGAAGAAGGCUUGAGUGGGUGAAGAAAUGCCAGCAGAUAAGAAGCGCCCUAGAUGGAGGAGAUGAUUUGGAGUGGCCUUUGGCUGGACUUCCCUCUUACAUGGCCACGGGACGGAACCAAUUUCUUCCUGUAAUGCAGAGACUGCACCUUGAGGGAGGCGGCUGGCCAGAAGCCAGGAGUGACAAAGCUGUUGUGAGAAGCAGAGGGAGCAGAGACUGAUGGGGAGGGUGUGCUGGAGCCCUCUGCCUUCAGUGAAGGAUCUCUGUUCAUGAGACCCCCAGGCCCCAGGGGUGAAAUAUGGGGGGGACAGGUGUCCCAAAUGGUGAGAGGCAGCCACUUCUUGGAACUGGGCAAGGCAUUCUUAAAAGGACCUAAGGAGCAGUUUGGAUCCAUGGGCAGUGGUGAAAGCACUGGACAUGGAGGGAAGAUGGUCACCACGGCAGAUUCUCUCCGCGCGGCUGCCACGUGUGACACGGAAGCACAGGAGGUUCCAACUGUGUUUCCUGGGGAGGCCCAUGGUGCA